UACGUAGGGUGCGAGCGUUAAUCGGAAUUACUGGGCGUAAAGUGUGCGCAGGCGGCCGCGCAAGUCGAGUGUGAAAGCCCCGAGCUUAACUUGGGAACUGCGCUCGAAACUACGUGGCUGGAGUGUGGCAGAGGAAGGUGGAAUUCCAGGUGUAGCGGUGAAAUGCGUAGAGAUCUGGAGGAACACCGAUGGCGAAGGCAGCCUUCUGGGCCAACACUGACGCUCAUGCACGAAAGCGUGGGGAGCAAACAGG
rnacentral:rRNA from 1 species